CCUACGGGAGGCAGCAGUGGGGAAUAUUGGACAAUGGGGGCAACCCUGAUCCAGCCAUGCCGCGUGUGUGAAGAAGGCCCUCGGGUUGUAAAGCACUUUCAGUGAGGAAGAACGCCUGGUGGUUAAUACCCAUCAGGAAAGACAUCACUCACAGAAGAAGCACCGGCUAACUCCGUGCCAGCAGCCGCGGUAAUACGGAGGGUGCGAGCGUUAAUCGGAAUUACUGGGCGUAAAGCGCGCGUAGGUGGCUUGAUAAGCCGGUUGUGAAAGCCCCGGGCUCAACCUGGGAACGGCAGCCGGAACUGUCAAGCUAGAGUGCAGGAGAGGAAGGUAGAAUUCCCGGUGUAGCGGUGAAAUGCGUAGAGAUCGGGAGGAAUACCAGUGGCGAAGGCGGCCUUCUGGACUGACACUGACACUGAGGUGCGAAAGCGUGGGUAGCAAACAGGAUUAGAUACCCUAGUAGUC
rnacentral:rRNA from 1 species